AUCGUGGUGACAGUCCACAGACUAGAGUGGAUCUAUCUUUAGUGAAUAGGACCAAACGCAGCUGGGGGUGGUGACCUGUGACCUCAGUGUGAAGGGAACCUGUGCUGAAACUGGAGGCUCUGACUGAGAAGGAGGAGGAGGAGGAGAGCGUCACCCUGAGCUCCAGCAGCAGCGCCGGUUUCCAGUCACCCGGUGUCCGCCAUGACCUCAGUCUCGGCCCGCGGCUCUCUACCUGGCUCCCCGGACUCUCCCUCUAGUUUCCGGACAGGAAGGUCCCAAUGAGACACAAGACCUCUUCUUCCAGGAAGUCCUGGUCCAGAUCAACAGCAAAGACAGAGGACACAUGUUGGACCUUCUGUGCCAGUGAGACGUGAAGCUGAAGUGAGACAGACACUGCUGGACGCCUCCUUCACGCCCUGUCCCCUCCAGCAGAGGGCUUGUGAGCGGGGGAGCUUGUUGCAGAGAUGGAAC